rnacentral:tRNA from 1 species
GGAAAGGUAGCUCAGUGGUAGAGUGCUUGCCUUGCAUGCAUGAGGCCCUGGUUCGAUUCCUCAGCACCA